AAUCAACAAAAAAUAUUCAGAUUAUCAGAUCAAAGAUUCGAGUCACUUUAGACUCGUUACUUUUAGACCAAUCAUGUGACUCCAAAUGGCGUUCGUCGUGCGAGGAAAAGUCAGCGUGGUCAUGCUAUCAUAUAAUAUGGCUUUGAUUUGAUUCUGACCCCAAAAGGAACACCUUCAUGUGCAAACGUUUGACCUCAGUUGAACAGCUCCGGGUAAACAAGUCAUCGCAAAUGUCCCCUCCCUCAGUUCCAAACAGCUUGCAUCCCAUCAGCGCGCAUGUUUUGCCAGGACAGAUGACAGGAAAACAGUCUCAGCUCAUGUUCAUAAUAAGCCUCACUUGUGGAUUUCCAGAGGCCCAUGACUGAAGGUCGCAGCUCUAGUUUUUGAUCAGCGGAGGACCAGCGGAAAUUAUUAACAUGCUACUUCAUAAUAACAUAUCACAUAACAUUACAUAAAAAUCUGUUUUUCUGUAUUGUUUAAAUGUCGUAACAUAUGACAAUAAAUGGAAUUUUAAAAA
rnacentral:lncRNA from 1 species